AUCAUUCAUUAUCUUUACAAUUAACCAUCUUAUGAUCUACCCUUUUAAUGAUUUUCUUCUGUUUUGCUUCUUGCAUCUGAGCUUUACGUUUCCUUUUCUCCGCCUGUAGCCAAAACCAAUUCAGAUGAAAGGAAAAGCAUUACAACCAAAAUUAAUACAAAUGAUAUCUAAAUGUUAGAACUAAGCGCCGAAAGGAAGCAAACUCAAGUACACAAAAUGUAUGCAAAACACUUGGGGGAAAUGAAAGGCAACGCCACCCAACCUACAUAACCUCACAAUCCUCACCCUAUACAAAAGAGCCUCAAAAGCUACCUGCACUAGUCUCUCAAGCAAAAUCACCCCAAAAAGGUUACAACUAGCCUGUAUGUUAAGGAAAUUAAUGCAAUAUGAAAACUAUGAACGGAUAAAGAAAAUCUAAAUGGCAUUUUGACUUGCUGACUCUCCAAUCAAUAACUAAGGCUCCAAAUGUUGACAAAUAAGAUUACAUGUGAAUUGCAUGUUGAUGGCCAAGAGGGCCCGAAAAGUCAGUUGCAUAUAGGACAAACCGGACUUUGGAGAUAUAAAGCAAGGAUGACACACGGUGAAAGGUAACUCAUUAAUUAUUGCUCUCAAGUCACUAGAUAUUUAUUCCUCCAUUGUUAACCUUGUGAUCGCCUGUACCGACUCUCACGCCGGAGCUAUCCCCCGACGGUCCAAGCCGUCAAGCUUUUGGUGUUGACUGUGUUUACUGUGCAGGAUCAAGACGUCUUACGUGAUUGGGACGUGGAGAAAGAUUCUGGCGUUAACAUUGGCGCUAGAAGGAGAGCUGUGUUCUAGUUUUCUUGAAGUUUUCAAUCACAAAUUGUAGCUGCUCUACGUCGGAAUCCAUGGUGAAGAAGAGUAGAACAGUUACCUCUAAAGGAUACCUGAUGGCUAUGACUUCGUCUACACAAUAAGUAUCUAUCAAGGAUUGAUUGGAUCCUUCAAAGAAUGCUCAUGCUGGUACUGCUUCCAAGCAGGUUUCUGAGGGUUCUCGUUCGAGAGCCCAGGAUGAUGCUGGAAGAAGAUUGAUUUUUGCUGCCNNNNNNNNNNNNNNNNNNNNNNNNNNNNNNNNNNNNNNNNNNNNNNNNNNNNNNNNNNNNNNNNNNNNNNNNNNNNNNNNNNNNNNNNNNNNNNNNNNNNAGACCCAACAGCCAUUUUCCUGAUUGAUUGACCGAGAAGGGUAUUCCGCCCUAUUGGUCUUCGGGAUUAUGGUCGCAGUAGACGAAGAAACUGAUCCAGGGAGCAUGCACCUCAGAAUACAAAUAAGGCAUUCUGCCUUGAGUAUCCUCACCACAGUGACAGAAAGUUUCACCGAAAUAGAUCCAGAAAUCACACUCCCGAGAGUCCAUUAAGGGCACACCGCCCUGUGGGCACUGGUCUUCGGGGAAAUCCAUCUAAAGUUGCAGCUCCAUAUGGAAAGCAACUGAGGAGUCGAUCACAAUAACAAUUCCACCGCCGGUGCAUUAUCGAAGCUGGCCACUACAGAUGCUUAUAACUUUGACGACAGAUGGCGUCAUUUCUUCGGAUUAGAUGCUGACAAAGAAGACCAAGUACAAAAGUGUCAAUUUUGUUCUCAUUGAUGAGAAUCUUUAUCGAAGGACCUUUUUCGUCAUCAUUGCUUAAACAUUUGGUUCCAUCCGAAGCAGAGUGUGUUCUUCGGGAAGUUCACAAAGAUAUUUGUGGCAAUUAUUUGACCUGAAGUUGUUGACCUACAAAGCACUUAGGCAGUGAUAUUCUUGAAAGAACUGGGGAUUCAACACAGAAAGACUUCGGGUAUUCUACUUUGGACCCAUCUCCCACUAUUGAGGAAUUUCGGGUGCCGUCCGAAGCUACAAAUGUUGUUCGGAGGGUUCAUGUGGAUAUUUGUCAGCCAAAUGGUUCGAUCCCACAUCAGCCACCAAAAGGCUAUAUUCAAUUUUAUCUCCUAUACCUCUUGCUGUCUGGGGGGUAGUCGUACUGGGUCCAUUGCCAAGGGAUUAGGUUAACAGACGCCAGCUCAUGGGAUCGAAGUUUAAAACAUUCAUGAGGAACUUCCGUAGCUCAUCCAUAUUCUGACAGGCACAGCAAAUGCCACCUCGGUGUUAGGAGGUUCGGGAGGACUCGCUGACCAUUCGAUGGUAGCCUCUUCGGCAGGUGGUCACUUUGGCAUUGUCAGGCCCUUCGGGGUAGGCAAUUGUCGUCACUUUGGCAUUGUCAGGCCCUUCGGGGUAGGCAAUUGUCGUCACUUAGACUUCGUCAGGCCCUUCGUGGUAGGCGAAUGUCAUCUUUUGGUUUUGAUAGGAGGUUCGGGAGGACUCGCUGACUAUUCGAUGGUAGCCUCUUCGGCAGGUGGUCCUUUAGACCUUGUCAGGCCCUUCGUGGUAGGCAAGUGUCAUCCUUAAGACGUUGUCAGGCCCUUCGUGGUAGACAACUGUCGUUCCUUAGACUUCGUCAGGCCCUUCGUGGUAGGCGAAUGUCAUCUUUUGACUUUGUCAGACCCCGAGUGGUAGACAAAGGUCCUUAUAUCUUGAUCCUUAUAUCUUGAUCCUUAUAUCCUGAUCCUUAUAUCUUGAUCCUUAUAUCUUGGUCCUUAAAUCUUGAUCCUUAUAUCUUGAUCCUUAUAUCUUGGUCCUUAUAUAAUUGUUCCACCCCGAGUGGUAAACAAAUGUUCUUAUAUACUUAUUCUACCCCAAGUGGUGAACAAGAUUUUGAUGGUACAAGGAGGAUCAGCCGAAUUCACUUCACACAUGACCGAUCUCACACUUCGGUAACGAUAAGUAUGCAUUACUUUAUUUUGUUCAAGUGUUGAGUUCGAAUUAUAUUAUCAUUGUUCUUAACUGUUAUAUAGUUUGCUUAAUUAUUGACUAACGUUUUAAGAUAAGAGGCACUUGCACAGUUUUCAAGUUGAUUGAUGAUCCAUUAUUGACAAGAAAUGUUCACACAGAAGUAACAAGGCAUGAAGUUGAUAUUUCAUUAAAUUACAAAAUCAGAAACUUUUUACACAAGUCCUAUAAAUUAAAGGAAAUAAAAUCAUCUUCAGCUAGCAGCUUCAUCUUCGGAGUCUAGCAAAGAUGGAUCCAGUUGGGCAGCCACCAUUUUUUCUUUGCCCCGACUCCGACACUCUUCGUACCCUUCAUAAUAUACCUUCAAAAUAUCUGCACCGAGCUCGUCAGAUGUGCGAUAAUCCGCCUGUAUCUGCUUGACCAAGUCUUCGGUAAGAGGAGGGUCCCAUUCUUGAAGUGCCUUUAUCUUGUCACGAAGCUUGCGAUGCUUGGCCUUAUGAACUUUCCUAUCUGAUUGAGCCUUCGUCUGAACUUCGUUGAGUUGAGUUGACAAGUUCUGAUUGGCUACAACAAGCCCCUCUUUGGUAGUCUUCAGAGCUUCGGUCUCUGCAACAAAGCGGAUGUUCAUGGCGGCUAAUUUUUGUUCGCUGGCUUUUGUCGUCUUCAGUUCUUCUCUGACUGAGCUCAGCACAUCAUAAGUUUCCUUCAUGUCCUCCUUGGUUUGGGCCAAUUCCCUCUGAAGACUUUCGUUGGCAUGAAGAACAGAUUCGCAUUCCUCUCUCUCUCUCGGGCCAAUAUAGCCUUCAGCAUGUUGUUCUCCCUCCUCAAAAUCUCCUCAUCAGACUCGGCAUUUAUAUGCCUGGGACGUAAACGCCCGAAUACUGCAUUUGCCUGCAUAUAUUCAAUAAUAUCCAGUCAAUUUCAAAUAUUUUGGCAAAUGGAGAAACGUUUAACUGAGAAAACCCUCACGUACCUUGGCCAGAUAACUCAUGCCUUCAUCAAGAAAAUUUCCGUUCGUAUGAUUAUCAAAUCGGUGAUCAUCAUUUUCCCGAACGAAGGCAUCGAAGAGCUGGAAGGGGAAGUUGACGUUGUAUCGAGGUGACAUGGUCGGCUCCCCAAUGGCUUCAUUAUGGAAAUUUUGUGUUGAGGGCCUUGGGGGGGAAGGCAUCGGUUGGUUGUGAAUGGGAGAAGGAUCCAUGUAGAUGUUUUCAGGGGAAGAGGAUCGAGCUGGAGCAGGAUCUUGGGCUGGUAGAGUUGCAUGCGUUGGACUUGGGUGGCUAUCAGUUGGUCGUUUUCUCUUUCGCGAUGGUACUGCAGCCGACUCGGUUCUUUUUUCUUCAUUUACAGUUGAAGUCUCCACAGGGUUUGUUGGAGGGUGGACUUUUGUAUAAGCUACUCUAAGCUCAUCGGGGGUUAGGGGGAUGACUUUGGUUCUCAACUUUUUGAUCCGAAGAAGUUGUCUUCGAUCAUUCGCAGGAAGAUCUAAUAAACUUGUUCGAACCAAUUUUGGGACGGUGGUUGGAGGUAUCAGAUUAACAGUUGGUUCAGAUUCGGAAAGGUCUUCGGAGUCUGAUGGGAUGGAGAUCGGCCGGGGCUUUCGGAUGGCUCUUUUCUUUCGAUGAAGUUGAAGAACUUUUUUCGGAAGAAGAGGUUCGUCAUCUUCGGGUGCGUGGGUCUGAGGCUCCUCGGUUGGUACUUCGGUAGGUGGGUUGAAUUUGGAGGAAGCUUCCGGUUGUAAAGGUUCCUCAUCGGCAUCUACAGUUUUUCCGGUUGCAUUGUCUUCGGAUGGGACUUCAUGUUGUGAAGAAUCGACAGUGGCUUCUACCGGUUUUCCAGCUAACAAAUCCUCUAAGUCUUUCACCUCCGAAGGCGAUGGUUUGAUCAAAGUCACUACAGAAGAUUAACAGUUCUACAUCAGAAUCCAUAUCACAAAACUUUCAAAUAUUCACAAAAUGAAUUUGUACUUACGUUUGUGGUUAUACAACCACACUUGGUUGGAAAGAAGUCUAUAGUUCCAUUCCUCCAUCGGGAAAUUGUCCAAAAGUUCUAUCAUCUCGGCCUCACGUUCUUCAGAAACAUCUCCGAAGUUCGUGGAAAUCUUCUCAUCUGUGGCCCAGCCCGGUAAGGAGAGGACUUCGGGUCCUUUAACGAAAAACCAUCUUUCAUGCCAUCCUUUGUUGCUUGAAGGAGUAUUCACUAACGAGCGUCUCUCGAACCUCUCCCCUGUUUUUGAAGAAUGCUUGCUUAUGGUUUUAAAUCCUUUCUCUCUGGACUGACCGACCUUGUAUACAGUAAAGAAGAAGUCGAGCGCAGGUUCGAUGCCAAGUUCGUGGCAUAGAGCUAUGAAUGCCAAAAUAUGAAUAUAUGAGUUCGGCAUUAGUUGGGCGAACCCAACAUCCAAAAACCCUAAUAGAGUCACCACGAAGGCGUGAAGAGGGAACCGGAUCCCUUUCUCCAGAAUGGUCGUCGUAACAGCCAUCCCUCCUUCAGGGCGUUCGUACAUCCGUUCUCCAGACCUGGGAACUCUCAUCUGGUGGGUAUCUAGAAUGUGGCAACGAGUUCGAAGCCUUUCCAAGUCAGCCUCGGUAACUUUCGAGGGGAUGUUGACAUGAACAUACUGCUCUCUGUUCCUAUAGAAUUCGGAAGGACUGGGAGAGAAUGUCGUUGUUGGUUUCUUCUUAGCAGUUGCAGCAGCUUGAUCAGAACUUGAAACAUUCUUGGUAGAGUUUGGGUUUGGAAGAAUGGAGCAAAUUGGUGUCACUAGCAGGGGAUGAACUUGCUCAGAAUCUUGAGAUGCCAUUGUUAACGAUUUGCAGAGAAUACAAAGAAGGCUCGAGAGAUAGAGAGAAAGCUUGAAGGUUCGAAUUUCAAAUUGGCAGGUAAAACUGUCAAAAUUGGUAAAGUUUACCUUUUAUAUUGGUGGUUACACGACUAUAGAGAGCAGCACAGUUAAUUCACGGUAAUAAUGGUGAAUUGGAAAAGGUGUUGUCCGAUUUUGGGUCUAAAUAUCCUAAUCAGAGUGGGUUUAUGUCUAUUGGGCUUCCCAUUUCUAUCUCUGGUAUUAAUUUGGACCGACUUAAUUGGGCUUUGAUCAAUCCCACUUUGGAUCUCUCAUGACUUAUCAUAAUUCGUUAUAUCAUGGGCCUAUAUUAUUUAUAGUCUUCCAUUAAACCUCUUGUUUAAUAAAAGACUAGGGGGGCAAUGUUGGGCAAUGAUCCUUUUUCUUAUUGGGCCAGACUUAAUGGGCUCCUCCCUGGGGUUAUGGUUAUUCUUACCCUAUUGGUCCGAAUGCAGUGGGCCGGAUUACUAGAUGAGUAUGGUUCCAUUUAGGCUUUGACCGGUGUAGAUUGGGGAUAGAACUUUGACUGUCAUCUCUGCAUUGCAUUUAAUGAGGAUUGGACAAGGCUUAGUCGGCUAAAAGCUGUGGGCCCGAAAAGUCAGUUGCAUACAGGACAAACCGGACUUUGGAGAUAUAAAGCAAGGAUGACACACGGUGAAAGGUAACUCAUUAAUUAUUGCUCUCAAGUCACUAGAUAUUUAUUCCUCCAUUGUUAACUUUGUGAUCGCCUGUACUGACUCUCACGCCGGAGCUAUCCCCUGACGGUCCAAGCCGUCAAGCUUUUGGUGUUGACUGUGUUUACUGUGCAGGAUCAAGACGUCUUACGUGAUUGGGACGUGGAGAAAGAUUCUGGCGUUAACAGCCUGCAACAUACAAAAAACUAUAAAUAUCAGGAGGUUAAUGCAAACUCUAAAAUGUAUUUAUCACUACAUACACUGAAUUAUGUAGUAAACCAGUCAGACUACACUGUGCAGACCCUGAGAAAUGUCACUGGUUUUCUGUCACUUGUGAAGACAGUAAACGUAGCCCAAGUUUUCCUUCCUAAAAAUGUCAAAGACGAUAUUGACAAGUUGAAUGCAGACCUAAAUACAGUAGCAGAAACACUGUGGGAAAAAACAAAUUAAAAUUUAGGCAAAAUAAGAAGGGUCUUCGGUGCUGUGUAUGAUCUUGUUGACCUUAGUUAUAGCAGUUCUCUAAUUUGGAGUUUGCAUUAACCUCCUGAUGUUUAUAGUUUUUUGUAUGUUGCAGGCGAUCAGCAGCAGUGAUGCUUCUUGUAUCCAUUUUGGGCCUCGGUAUGUAUUAUUUAGUUUCAUUGACUAUCUCUUUAUUUUGGUCAUCCACUUUGUCUUGCUUUUGUGAGCUUACUGAUUUCGUUUUCUGUAUUGCAGUUCUAUCUAUUCUUGGCCAUCAACAUGCAAUUCACAUGUAAUCUUAUUUGUGAUUCAUUUUGACAUGUAAUCCUAUUUAAGGAAUUAAUUUUCUAAAUGAAAAAAUUAUAAAAUAACUAGAGAUAACUUUCUAAGAAAAAGGAAGGCUCUCCACAACCAUACCAUACAUGAAAAAGGAAUGCUCUCCACAACCAUACCAUACUCUUGUUGCAUUUUCAAUAACCCCCAAAAAAAUCUGAAACUAAUUUCCCAACAUCUUCAUUGUCCAAAAUCCACAUAAACAAAGAUAAUCUAGAAGGAUCCAAAAAAAAAGAGAAGCGUUUUAGGAGUAGAUAAUACUUAAAUGAACUUGCAAACAUCUAGAGGAGGCAAUGUCAUGAUAUAAAGUGUUUUAGGAGAUAUAAAGUAUAUCAUAAUAGUUGCAACAAGUCAUCCCCACUAGGCUAGUAAAGCUACUCAAAGAAAUUAUAAAUACAAUUUACAACAAAUGCACCUUCUUUCAUUCCUCAUAAAGCAUUGAAACCACAAACAAGUUAUUGACUACUGCAACGAUGAGUUAUCGCGUGCACUCUCGACGCAUAAAACAAAAUCGACUCGUGGCACUUCAAUUAAACCCAACAUUAAGUGACAAAAAUUCACACCCAAUUAUAACCUUCUGUUUGGCUGAGUUACUGAGUAACAUAAGAAUGUGCCAACAAAUUAUGAAAAUACUUCUCUUAUGUAAAAGAAACUACCAACCAAAUUGGUCACAGAGAAAGGAUAAUUGACAUGUUUGGUGAUAGAAUGUACGCACACACACAUAUAUAUUGUUAUGGUUCAGUUUACAACCCUAUUACACAGUCUUCUAAUAAUAACAUUAAGGCGGUCUUCUAAUGGUUCCAAAAUAUGGAUUGCCAGGUAAUUAAUAGAUACACUUUUUAGUUAAAUUAAGGUGGUGUUUAUUUACCUCUUAAUAUCUCUUAAGAGCUCCAUAUAUGAUUCGGCAAGAGGGUAAAAUUAUUUGGUAAAAUUUUGUUUGACUCUUAUCGUCUCUUAGUAAAAAAGAAGAAAUAUGUCUAAAUCAUUAAAAGUUGUCUCUUAAUGAAAAUUUUAAAUAUAUGAAACAUCUAUAUAUAAAUAUUGUACUUCCUUCAUUCCAAAUUUUAAGAUCAAUAUUGAUUUUUGAAAAGUCAAUUUGAGAUAUUUUUAAAUUUAAAAUUGAUAUUUUUAAAUUUAAAAAUCAUUCAGAUGUUUUAUACUUUUUAGUUACCAAACAACUCAGAUGAUCUAAUUUAUUCAUAUAUUAAUGUACAACAAUUGAAAUCAAUUAAAAGUAGAAGUGUUCUAGUGGACUGAUUUUACGAUUUACUUUGUAAUUAAAGAUGAUAUAGAGGUGUCCAAAUUAAAGUACUAAAGAUGCCUUAUAUAAUAUGAAUCAAUAAUCACAUCAGACAAUUAAAUACACCUAUUUCCCCUGAGAUGACUGCAUCCCUACAGAGCAUUCAAUCUGAAUUAUUAAGCAACGAGUAAAGAGCAAACUUCCUCAAAACCCAGCUAGAGCUAUAUAAAUUAUUGAAGCACUAUGCAAAAACCCAAUGCGUAGUGCCAAAGUAUGAUAUAAGGAGAAACCCCUCCCAUCACUGCCUCCCUCCAACCCUUUCUGCUCACACCUGCACAAGUGCCAGAAUAUGAUCUAGAGAGCAAUCCCCUCCCAUUCUCCCUCAAUCCAUUCCUCUAUGCUCACACUCACACCCACAAGGCCACACACAUAAAAUAAAGUGAUCUAUACAGUUUACAAGCAAAUCAUUAAAAAAACUCAAAAAAAACUAGAUAUAUGAAUUUCUAAGUGGAAAAUGUCAGAAUGCUAGGCUAAUGGAUUAAAAGUAACAUAUUAGUAUAAUGGGAGAGUAACUGAGCGGUGACCCUCCAUUUAUGAAGCGUAUGACAUCUAGCACCAAUGAAUAUGAUAAUUGAAGAACAAACAAGACUGUGUCUAAUACUUAAAGCAUGAUAGUCUUAUGAAACAAGCAAGACAUUUAAUAAGUAAAUUGCAUAUUAAAAUUAUUAUUUGUGAUGUCAAAGGGAAGAAUUACUAAUACAAUUAUCACAUGAACCAUAAAUCACAAACACAUGCACUUAUUUUUUUCUCUUCUAGAGCAGCUAAAUAAGAACACUUACAAUUGCGACAACCAUAAACACUAAUUACAUCUUAAGCAAAGUAUGUCACCUGUUUACUGGUAUCAGAUUUUGCCUUUUUAGCAGGAACUAAAGUUUUUGUUGCAGAACCGAGGGUUUCUUCUUGGAUGGCUUAGCCUGAAAAUAUUUAAUGAGUUAACCCAAGUCAGCUUACAAACAUUUAGAACAUCUGUGGGUGUGUGCGAUGGGGGGAGGAUAUCAACAUAUUCCUACAUUCUAGUACCUUCUUAGGUGCCUCUUCAUCUUCAGACAUAUCAACAUCUGAAUCACCACCUAAAUUGCUAUCGUCGAACUGAAAACAAUGACACUAUACCCAAUAUAUAUAUAUAUAUAUAUAUAUAUAUAUAUAUCAUUGCUAUUGUUAAACUAAACAAAAAAGAAGCGUGAGAAAAUUUAAAUUGUCAUGUGAUUGGCUAAAAAAUGAUAGAAAAUUAAGAUGACUUAAAAUCACAGCAAUUCAACUAACAUAACAAAUUAUAGGAAAGAGCAACGGAAGAAUCUAGCAUCCAUAAAAAACAUUUUGAUGCAGGACAUGAUUUUGAAAGCUUGAAUUGCAGAAAAUAAUUGAAAAAAAUAGGAAAAUUGGUACUAGGCUAGGGUGGAGACUGCAAAUUAGAAUGCUAACAAAUAAACAAGACUGCAAGUAAUAAGAAAUGAAAACCAGUAAUAUUAGGAUUAGCUUUAGCUUUGACCCCCAUGAACACAAACAAUUUUAUCAUCAUACGCCUUCCAACUAGAAUGCUAACAAAUAAGGUAUUUUAUAAUCAAUUAAAAGCAUAAAGGGUCAGAUUUUACUUAAAGUCUAAACAGUUAAUCACUGAGUCAUCAAGAGGAAAGAUAUAGUGAUAAAUCUUUGGCAAAUUUAGCAUACAAGGGUCAAGGUUAAACGCUUCAAGCAAAAUAGUCUGAUCUAACACUAUUUUCCUACCUUGCACAUAAGUAGCUAUACUAUGCAAAGUGCCAACAUCUUUUAUAAAUUCCAUAUGAUCAUAAAACUCACUAACUAAAUCCAGAUAAACACACCUACUUGAAAAAAAAAUUAGACAAACACAACCAAUUUUCUUCAAAUUGACAAGCAAAUCAGGAUGAGAAUGAAAAAUAAUAGUAGGCCCAGUCAUGAAAUUAUACUUCAUUGCAUUAUACUUUAACUGAGUAAAUUCAGUUAGCAUGUUGGGAUCAAUUAAUGGUGCUGACAUUUUGGUUCUUUUAGAAGAACAAGAAGAAGAAGGGAAAGAAAAAGAAGUGGGUUCAUAAAGGGAAUUAUAGCUGACAUGGUAGAAGAUAUAAUGGUAGUAUACUAGCAUUUUUAAGCAGAUAGAUGUAUUUAUACACAAGUUCAUAUAGGAGUGGUCAUGUCAAAGUAAGGCUUUACCCAAGCAUGCAUUUCAGAAGAGAAGAGUAGGCAUGACAUAAUCCUUGAUCUGAUUUUUAGAAAUAGUUUUAAACAUUAUUCACAUAGUUCAUACAUAACGUGUCAAUUAAAUCGAAUUUGAACAAGAAAAAUCAUAAUCAACCAUGAAAACAAAUGAUAGUCGAAACAUUAAAUUUUGUCGCAUAUUUAACAUUUUGAACACACAUCUUGUUUCAAACAGAGUUUGGUUCAAAUACUAAAAUGAAAUUUUUAUACCUAGAUUACACAACAAAAGUAUCAAUUCAAAUAAAUACUAAAUAAAAGAUAUUAAAUAAUGAUCAUAACUUAAAACUCAAGAGUGAUAAAUCAAACACAAAUGAACAUAAACAUAUCUAAAAUACAAAACAAAGUCUCAACUAAAUUAGUAAAAUAAAAUUUAUGACACUUAAUUCACAAGAAGCAUAAAUCUAGAAGAUGUUGUUUCAUGCCAAUUUAAAGGUUUGUUUCAAACUAAGGAAUCAAACACUUUGAGCAUACAUUAAAAAGGCUCAUACAUAGUCCUUAUAAUCUCAAAAAUGAUAGACUAAAAGUUACCAUCCCUUAACCCAGUUAAGAGUAAAGAUCAUCAAAUUACCAGAAGAUGAAACUAUACUGAUAAAUGACCCACAAAAAUGAUUGAAAAUCAAAAACCUAUAAUUACUAGAAAUAAUGAUUAAUAAGGCUAUAUAUUCCAAAUUUCCAAUAGAAAACAGAGAUUGUCCACAACAAAAAAAUAUAAAUAUAAAUAUAAAUAUUUAUAAUUUUAUAAAUAUAAUUUAUAAAAUUAUAAAUUUCUAGAUAAAUAUAAAUAUAAUUAAAUACCUGGUGUGGUCCUGGGAAAAGGUUGUGGUGAAAAAUUAAGGCGAUGAUGAGCAGAAAUCUUUGCGGUGUUGAGAAUAAUGGAAACAUCAUUAUCAUCCUCGGGAACUAGGGUAGGGGCAACAAGGUUGGGCGGUAGGCUCGCCGCUCGCGACUGGGCUGGGGAAGAGUAAGACGCAACUGGACUGGAGAAGGGGUAGGCCACGAGUCGCGACUGGUUGCGUGAGGGGUGCCUAUUGGUGGUGAGUUAUGAGAGAGAUAAUGGCAGAUUUGGGCGCAGCGGCAGUUAGGAGUAGAAGCAAAACUGAAGGGCUCAAGCUAAAGGCUCUAAGUACACAACUCCUAAUUAUAAUAGGAACUCGUU
rnacentral:lncRNA from 1 species